UUUUUGUCUCUCUCAGCUAGGAGAACCAAGGUGAUGAGAAGGCAGUCAACCUUUGUUUUUAACAAUGCUUCUCAUCCAUGGAGCAAAAAUAAAAUACUUAUUUGGAUGCUUUGCUUUUUGCGUCAAUUCAAGGGCUCCAUAAUAAGGUCAGACUAUUUGGCACUGAGGUUGGGCUUUGUCACAUAUCACAAGCUACCACAUUCAUAUGACUUCCAUAAAUACAUGGUACAGAGCAUGGAAGAUGAUUACAAUGGGACUAUUGGUAUCAG